AGAGUUUGAUCCUGGCUCAGAUUGAACGCUGGCGGCGUGCUUAACACAUGCAAGUCGAACGUGAAAGUCCUUCGGGGCGAGUAAAGUGGCGCACGGGUGAGUAACGCGUGGAUAAUCUACCCUUAAGAUGGGGAUAACGGCUGGAAACGGUCGCUAAUACCGAAUACGCUCCCGAUUUUAUCGUUGGGGGGAAAGAUGGCCUCUGCUUGCAAGCUAUCGCUUAAGGAUGAGUCCGCGUCCCAUUAGCUAGUUGGCGGGGUAACGGCCCACCAAGGCAACGAUGGGUAGCCGGUCUGAGAGGAUGACCGGCCACACUGGAACUGGAACACGGUCCAGACUCCUACGGGAGGCAGCAGUGGGGAAUAUUGCGCAAUGGGCGAAAGCCUGACGCAGCGACGCCGCGUGAGGGAUGAAGGUUCUCGGAUCGUAAACCUCUGUCAGGGGGGAAGAAACCCCCUCGUGUGAAUAAUGCGAGGGCUUGACGGUACCCCCAAAGGAAGCACCGGCUAACUCCGUGCCAGCAGCCGCGGUAAUACGGAGGGUGCAAGCGUUAAUCGGAAUCACUGGGCGUAAAGCGCACGUAGGCGGCUUGGUAAGUCAGGGGUGAAAUCCCACAGCCCAACUGUGGAACUGCCUUUGAUACUGCCAGGCUUGAGUACCGGAGAGGGUGGCGGAAUUCCAGGUGUAGGAGUGAAAUCCGUAGAUAUCUGGAGGAACACCGGUGGCGAAGGCGGCCACCUGGACGGUAACUGACGCUGAGGUGCGAAAGCGUGGGUAGCAAACAGGAUUAGAUACCCUGGUAGUCCACGCUGUAAACGAUGGGUGCUGGGUGCUGGGAUGUAUGUCUCGGUGCCGUAGCUAACGCGAUAAGCACCCCGCCUGGGGAGUACGGUCGCAAGGCUGAAACUCAAAGAAUUGACGGGGGCCCGCACAAGCGGUGG
rnacentral:rRNA from 1 species